CAGGAUUAGAUACCCUGGUAGUCCACGCCGUAAACGGUGGGCACUAGUUGUGGGGACCUUCCACGGUCUCUGCGACGCAGCUAACGCAUUAAGUGCCCCGCCUGGGGAGUACGAUCGCAAGAUUAAAACUCAAAGGAAUUGACGGGGCCCCGCACAAGCAGCGGAGCAUGCGGCUUAAUUCGACGCAACGCGAAGAACCUUACCAAGGCUUGACAUAUACAGGAAUAUGGCAGAGAUGUCAUAGCCGCAAGGUCUGUAUACAGGUGGUGCAUGGUUGUCGUCAGCUCGUGUCGUGAGAUGUUGGGUUAAGUCCCGCAACGAGCGCAACCCUCGUUCUGUGUUGCCAGCAUUUAGUUGGGGACUCACAGGAGACUGCCGGGGUUAACUCGGAGGAAGGUGGGGAUGACGUCAAAUCAUCAUGCCCCUUAUGUCUUGGGCUGCACGCAUGCUACAAUGGCUGGUACAAACGGCUGCAAUACCGCAAGGUGGAGCGAAUCCGAGAAAGCCAGUCUCAGUUCGGAUUGGGGUCUGCAACUCGACCCCAUGAAGUCGGAGUUGCUAGUAAUCGUAGAUCAGCAACGCUACGGUGAAUACGUUCCCGGGGCUUGUACACACCGCCCGUCACGUCACGAAAGUCGGUAACACCCGAAGUCAGUGGCCCAACCGCAAGGAG
rnacentral:rRNA from 1 species